CGUCUCGUUUCAGUAUAGACCCGAUAUAGCCGGGCUGUGCCUAGCCCACUUCUAGCCCAAUUAAACUUUAAUUUGGUUACAUGUGGUUUUUGACAAAAUAAUUUGUGAGAUGGAUGCUAUUUUAUCAUGUAAGCAAAGUUAACAGCGAUUACAAGGCAUGCAAAGACACCAGUGAAUGUAAGAUGUUUGGUUUUAUUUAUCUUAUCUGAAUAUCUGCUGUCACGCAUAACAUUCAUUAUUUGACCGUAUUUCAAAGAUAAACAAAAUCCAGUUACAACUCCGAACCGCUAGAUGGCAGCAGUACACAAACACGAGGCCAAAUCUCACGAGAAAGAUUUCCGCUGUUUGAAAAGCAACAACAUCAGCGAGCAGCCACGAAGAAAGCAAUCUACCACACUCGUUUGGUUUUGUGUCAAAGCUGUGCGAAACUGGAGGGAGAAACUUGAGAGACCGUGCCGGAAGAAUGCUGGACAGAGUUCACUAAAAUUCAUUAAUUUCAAAGUUCAACAUGCAUGGUGGUGGUCCACUGCAGAAGCAAGCAUUUGAAAAAACAUCAGUUCUCAGUUAUUAAAGAUGCUGUGUUGAACAACUUCCCAGCAGCAACAGAACUGGAUGUGAAGGAUUCAAUGGGGGCAUUUCAAACAGUCACCAGGGAGCACGGGGGGG